rnacentral:ncRNA from 1 species
GUGUCUAUUAAAAGGAGAGACAGCUAGCACUCCCAUUGAAAAGGAUGGAACAUAUUUGU